rnacentral:rRNA from 1 species
GACGAACGCUGGCGGCGUGCUUAACACAUGCCAGUCGAACGGAAAGGCCCUGCUUUUGUGGGGUGCUCGAGUGGCGAACGGGUGAGUAACACGUGAGUAACCUGCCCUUGACCUUGGGAUAACUUCAGGAAACUGGGGCUAAUACCGGAUAGGAGCUCCUGCUGCAUGGUGGGGGUUGGAAAGUUUCGGCGGUUGGGGAUGGACUCGCGGCUUAUCAGCUUGUUGGUGGGGUAGUGGCUUACCAAGGCUUUGACGGGUAGCCGGCCUGAGAGGGUGACCGGCCACAUUGGGACUGAGAUACGGCCCAGACUCCUACGGGAGGCAGCAGUGGGGAAUAUUGCACAAUGGGCGGAAGCCUGAUGAAGCAACGCCGCGUGCGGGAUGACGGCCUUCGGGUGGUAAACCGCUUUCGCCUGUGACGAAGCGUGAGUGACGGUAAUGGGUAAAGAAGCACCGGCUAACUACGU